rnacentral:lncRNA from 1 species
CGAACAGGGACUAGGCUAGUUUAGUAGUUUAAUAAUUUUUUUGGUAUUGUCACUUCUUCAAUUUUACUGUUCGUAAUCACAUCUGUAGUAAAAACGGUCGAGAAUAUGAUUAGUGUUUCUGCGGAGCGGUGGAAUGCUGCUAUGAAUCUGAUUUCCCACUUAACAGCUGAAGCAAAUAGUCUUCGAGAGCAAAUUACCCGAUUAAGUUCUCCGGGGAUCUCACCAGCCACCGGAAGUUAUCAGUCGUUCACACAGGAACAACGUAAUCCAGAAGCUCCUGUCUUCCCACCUAGGCCGGAAACGUCGUCAAUCUCCCGGCCA